rnacentral:lncRNA from 1 species
GUAAUAACACAUUAAUAAUAACGUUUCCCGCGUAUCUCUUGUUCGUAUUUACGUUGUUCCCGGCGGUUUUCGAAUUAUAACCGUGUUUUGUUGCAAUUAUUUUUUUCAUUCGUGAAGACAUGCUUUAAUAAAGUGGUUAAAUAUUUGUAUUUUGUUUUACGUGGUUUCAAAUAAUGGUCCGUUGCCGUGUACUAUGUGGGCCCCGCGAACUGGUGACCGACAAUUCGAAAUUGUGUUCGAACCGUUUCGCCGACGCCGAAUUCGCAGUCGCGAACGAACGGCGACGUCGCUUACGUCCACACGCGGUUCCGACAACAGUAAUCGUUAGGUGACGUUAUAAAUGAACGUUUACGACAGUUUUAAUACGGCGUGAUGUAAAAGUUCGACAAUACACAUUUUCGUGCACAAACGCACACAAUAUUCUCAAAUACCUACCUAAACAUCGUUUUUAAUGUUUUAAUACCAAAUUCAUUAGUUGCAAACUGUUUUCAUGACGUUAAACCCCUUCAUUAAUGCAUAUAUAUAUAUAUAUUUAUAAGAUUGGUGAGUAUACAUGUACCUAUUGGUUACGAUAAGUACAUUUUAGAAGAAUGUAUUGGUUUUACAACAAUGUUUAUUUAUUUCAUUUUUUCUAUGUAAACACUUUCUACUAGAAAGCCUACUCCGAUUAUCAAGUGUAACACCUUUUCUGAAAGGAAAUGUUCUCUGGGUGGUACUUUUAAGGGGUUAUUUUUUUAAAUUCUCAUUAAUAUUCGAGAUAAUGAGGAAAACCUGGGUCUUUAGGUGAAAAGAGAUUGAAAGAAUAAAAGUAAGGUUGUCAUGGAAACGCAUAUUGUUGUAAUAAUUUUACCAUAAUACGACAUAUACCUAUGGUGACCAGACGUACUCUUUUUCGUAGGACAGUAUUCUUUAUUGAUACAUUGUCCUAUGUUCUUAAUAAUAGUAUUAAGUAUAUGCAAUUUUUCUUUUUUUUUUUUUUGAAAAUUAUAAAUGAUAAAUAAAUAAAUACAAAUUCGUAGGAAACAUAUAUUAAUAAAGUUUUGUAUUUAUUUAUUUAAAUGUUAACCUUUAAAAAUUAAUUAAAUUAUUUAUACCUUAGUUAUAUCUGCGUGACUGAAUACUUUAAGUUGACUUAAAAUUACUUAAAUUUCAAAGUAUCAUCAUCAUAAAGACAAACCAAAUGAGUUGACAUUACGAUUUCAAAUAAUUAGUUUUUAUAGUUGAUAAUAACAAAAGUGGUAAAAAAAAAAUGUAUAUAGAUGGAGAUAAGCUAUGGGCAAUAUGGGUGGAAUAGUACAUAUUACACAUUGACUAAUUCCCUUUCAAGGGAGGUUUUUUUUUACAAUGGAGGACCUAAAUUUUAAAAUAUACUUUUUUUUUGGAUUUUUAUAUAUGAUCACCAUAUAUAUAACAUAUUGUAUUGUUGACAAAGUAACAUUAUCAACUGAACUCUGCUCAAAAUUGUUUUUUUGUUAGCAAUGUUUUAUCUUUGCUUAAAGAUGUACAUUAAAUUCCUCUCUGUAUCCUACCUUUCCAACUUCCCACCUACAACAGUGAUUGCACCCAUGUGCAAAGUAUGUCCGUCCUUUUAAUAGCAUUAUCUUCUUUAUUUUAACUUUUAGCUGGUGAUUGUUGGUGACGAGGAUAUGGUCGUGGAUAUUCUCAAGGUCGAUGAAAAAUAAGUGGAAGUUAACGCGAAUAAGUUCAAUGUCAAGAUGGAGAUAGUAGAAGUUAACAUUGAUGAGCCUGAUGUCGACAUAGAGGUUGCUGAAAUAGAAUUUGAUGACUUGGUUGUAGAUCCUUAAAGAGAUAUGCCACAAGUGGUAAACGUUCAUGUAAUCAUACACAGAUUAUAUCGAAAUUAGUGCACUUUGGAAUUGUAGAUGGCCCACUCCAGAUAAAUUAUAUUGUGGCUUAUUAUUUUAUUAAUUUUUUUUACUAUGUCCAUUCUUAGUACUCUGUAAUACAAUUUAACAAAAGUAAAUACCAAGGAAAACCUCGGCUUGACUGUCUUAGUAUAGUAUUAGUGAUGCCCUUAUAAAAUUAUACAAAAUGCAGGAAUAGUAUAUAUUCUGUAGUAUCUAAUAAAUAUAUAGUAUGUAGUAUUCUGUGUUAUUUAAUCUAGUGUACAUUUUGUUUGAUUUUAUUAUUAAAAAAAUGUUUUUUCAACAGUUCCAUAAUAAUACAAAUUGUGUAACGAAUUAUGCUUUAUUUGAUUAUUGGACGAACUAAUGUUCUAAAAAAAGUAUUUUGUUUUUAAGUACUUUAUAGAUGCAAAUUGUAGAAAUAUAUCCUGUUAAAUGAC